UCAGAGGCAGAGCUCUGGGGUGUCUCCACCAUGGCCUGGACCCCUCUCCUGCUCCCCCUCCUCACUCUCUGCACAGGCUCUGUGGCCUCCUCUGGGCUGACUCAGUCACCUGCGGUGUCUGUGGCCCUGGGAGAGACAGUCAGCAUCACCUGCCAGGGAGGAGUAAUAGAAAUCCUUGGUGCUCACUGGUACCAGCAGAAGCCAGGCCAGCGCCCUGCACUGUUCAUCUAUGAUGAUAGCGAUCGGGAAUCAGGGGUCCCUGAGCGGUUCUCCGGCUCCCGCUCUGGUGGCACGGCCACCCUGACCAUCACUGGGGCCCAGGCUGAGGACGAGGCUGACUAUUUCUGUCAGUCAGCAGACAGCAGUGGUAAUAACCCCACAGUGACACAGGCAGAUGGGGAAGGCUUCUCUGAGUCCCUGGACGCUGCUCCACUGUCCUGUGUCCCUGGGAUUGGCUGGUGUCCCUUGGAGUAG